UUAUAUGGUCAAGAAGAGAAGCGCAAACGGUGGAUGCCUUGGCAGUAAGAGGCGAAGAAGGACGUGGAAUCCUGCGAAAAGCUAUGGGGAGCUGGAAACGAGCGAUGAGCCAUAGAUGUCCGAAUGGGGGAACCCGGCUGCAGCGAUGCGGUCAUUUGCAUUUGAAUACAUAGGAUGCAAAGGCGAACUCGGGGAACUGAAACAUCUAAGUACCCGAAGGAAAAGAAAUCAAGAGAGAUUCUCCAAGUAGCGGCGAGCGAACGGGGAGGAGCCUGGCGUGAUUUAUUAUUGAACUGAGUAGAACAAUUUGGGAAAGUUGGCGAUAGAGGGUGAAAGCCCCGUAUACGAAGGUUUGAUGAGGAACU
rnacentral:rRNA from 1 species